rnacentral:rRNA from 1 species
UACGAAGGGGGCUAGCGUUGCUCGGAAUCACUGGGCGUAAAGCGCACGUAGGCGGCUUUCUAAGUCAGGGGUGAAAUCCAGGAGCUCAACUCCUGAACUGCCUUUGAUACUGGAGAGCUUGAGAUCGGGAGAGGUGAGUGGAACUGCGAGUGUAGAGGUGAAAUUCGUAGAUAUUCGCAAGAACACCAGUGGCGAAGGCGGCUCACUGGCCCGAUACUGACGCUGAGGUGCGAAAGCGUGGGGAGCAAACAGG